rnacentral:rRNA from 1 species
CAGUAGCCGCGGGAAUACGGAGGGUGCAAGCGUUAAUCGGAAUUACUGGGCGUAAAGCGUGCGUAGGCGGUUCGUUAAGUCUGUUGUGAAAGCCCCGGGCUCAACCUGGGAAUGGCAAUGGAUACUGGCGAGCUAGAGCGUGUCAGAGGAUGGUGGAAUUCCCGGUGUAGCGGUGAAAUGCGUAGAGAUCGGGAGGAACAUCAGUGGCGAAGGCGGCCAUCUGGGACAACACUGACGCUGAGGCACGAAAGCGUGGGGAGCAAACAGGAUUAGAUACCCCCGUAGUCCCUGUCUCUUAUAC